rnacentral:rRNA from 1 species
GACGAACGCUGGCGGCGUGCUUAACACAUGCAAGUCGAGCGAGGCCCCUCCUUCGGGAGGGUGUCCUAGCGGCGAACGGGUGAGUAACACGUGGGCAACCUGCCCUCAGCUCUGGGAUAACUCCGGGAAACCGGGGCUAAUACCGGAUACGACCUCCACGGGCAUCUGCGGAGGUGGAAAGUUUUUCGGCUGAGGAUGGGCCCGCGGCCUAUCAGCUAGUUGGUGGGGUAGUGGCCCACCAAGGCGACGACGGGUAGCCGGCCUGAGAGGGCGACCGGCCACACUGGGACUGAGACACGGCCCAGACUCCCACGGGAGGCAGCAGUGGGGAAUAUUGCGCAAUGGGCGAAAGCCUGACGCAGCGACGCCGCGUGAGGGACGAAGGCCUUCGGGUUGUAAACCUCUUUCAGCAGGGACGAAGCGAAAGUGACGGUACCUGCAGAAGAAGCACCGGCCAACUACGUG